rnacentral:tRNA from 1 species
GGGCCUGUAGCAUAAGGGUAAGUGCACCCGCCUUAUAAGCGGAAGACAACCGUUCAACUCGGUUCGGGCCUA